UGGGGAAUCUUCCGCAAUGGACGAAAGUCUGACGGAGCAACGCCGCGUGAGUGAAGACGGCCUUCGGGUUGUAAAGCUCUGUGAUCCGGGACGAAAGAGCCUGAGGUGAAUAGCCUAAGGAAGUGACGGUACCGGAAAAGCAAGCCACGGCUAACUACGUGCCAGCAGCCGCGGUAAUACGUAGGUGGCAAGCGUUGUCCGGAAUUAUUGGGCGUAAAGCGCGCGCAGGCGGCUUCCUAAGUCCAUCUUAAAAGUGCGGGGCUUAACCCCGUGAUGGGAUGGAAACUGGGAAGCUGGAGUAUCGGAGAGGAAAGUGGAAUUCCUAGUGUAGCGGUGAAAUGCGUAGAGAUUAGGAAGAACACCGGUGGCGCAGGCGACUUUCUGGACGAAAACUGACGCUGAGGCGCGAAAGCGUGGGGAGCAAACAGG
rnacentral:rRNA from 1 species